UCGAAGGUAGCAUAAUCAGUAGUCUUUUAAUUGGAGGCUGGUAUGAAUGGUUGGACGAGGUAUUAACUGUUUCAUUUAAAAUUUUAUAGAAUUUUAUUUUUUAGUUAAAAAGCUAAAAUAAAAUUAAAAGACGAGAAGACCCUAUAAAUCUUUAUAUUUAUUUUAUUUUAAUUAUAAAGAUUAAUUUAAUUAUAAUUUAAAUAAAUAUUUUAUUGGGGUGAUAUUAAAAUUUAAUAAACUUUUAAUUUUUAAAUACAUUAAUUUAUGAAUAAAUGAUCCAUUAUUAAUGAUUAAAAAUUUAAGUUACUUUAGGGAUAACAGCGUAAUUUUUUUGGAGAGUUCAUAUCGAUAAAAAAGAUUGCGACCUCGAUGUUGGAUUAA
rnacentral:rRNA from 1 species